UACAGAGACUGCAAGCGUUAUUCGGAUUCACUGGGCGUAAAGGGUGCGCAGGUGGCCGAGUGUGUUAGGCGUGAAAGCCCGGGGCUUAACCCCGGAAUUGCACCUAAAACUACUUGGCUAGAGCAUUGGAGAGGGGUGCAGAAUUCCCGGUGUAGUGGUGGAAUGCGUAGAGAUCGGGAGGAAUACCAGUGGCGAAAGCGGCACCCUGGCGUCGUACUGACGCACAUGUGCGAAAGCGUGGGGAGCGAACGGG
rnacentral:rRNA from 1 species